rnacentral:rRNA from 1 species
UACGGAAGGCAGCAGUGGGGAAUAUUGCACAAUGGGCGCAAGCCUGAUGCAGCCAUGCCGCGUGUAUGAAGAAGGCCUUCGGGUUGUAAAGUACUUUUCAGUCGUGAGGAAGGUGUUAAGGUUAAUAACCUUAGCAAUUGACGUUAGCGACAGAAGAAGCACCGGCUAACUCCGUGCCAGCAGCCGCGGUAAUACGGAGGGUGCGAGCGUUAAUCGGAAUUACUGGGCGUAAAGGGCACGCAGGCGGUUAAUUAAGUUGGAUGUGAAAUCCCCGGGCUUAACCUGGGAAUGGCAUUCAAGACUGGUUAGCUAGAGUCUUGUAGAGGGGGUAGAAUUCCGAUGUGUAGCGGUGAAAUGCGUAGAGAUGUGGAGGAAUACCGGUGGCGAAGGCGGCCCCUGGGACAAAGACUGACGCUCAUGUGCGAAAGCGUGGGGAGCGAAACAGGGAU